UACGUAGGCAGCAAGCGUUGUUCGGAAUUACUGGGCGUAAAGAGUGUGUAGGCGGUGCUCUAAGUCUGCUGUGAAAUCCCCGGGCUCAACCUGGGAAUGGCAGUGGAUACUGGCAAGCUAGAGUGCGGUAGAGGGUAGUGGAAUUCCCGGUGUAGCGGUGAAAUGCGUAGAGAUCGGGAGGAACACCAGUGGCGAAGGCGGCUACCUGGACCAGCACUGACACUCAGGCACGAAAGCGUGGGGAGCAAACAGG
rnacentral:rRNA from 1 species